GGGGUAUGUGCUCAGAGCAGGGCCAGGAGAACAGCUUCUCUGUUUACAACACACCCAAGAAGAUCAUGGGGACAUGGUAAUGAGGCGCACAGCACUGUGUCCUCUCCGUGACCUGAGAAAAAGC